rnacentral:lncRNA from 1 species
CACCAUGUCAUUAAGCUAAUUGAACAGGCCAACUUUUCUCAGGAAGGCGGUGAUGGCAGGGGAGCAGGUAAUAAUAACUUUGGAUUUGGCAAUUGUCAUUCACAUCCUGACCGACCUCUGCCACCGUUCUUUUCUGGAACUACUAGAUCCACCAGCCCCUGCCAAGGGCAGGGAUGAUAAAUGCUAUGCAUGGGGAAGAAUUAUUCUUGCUAAUGAUCUCCGCCUUAGAAAACCUCAGCCCCUGAUGAGACCCUCAGUUCAUCUUUCUACAUUUGUUGAGGCUUCAACCAACAGAGGCAACAAGAAAGCCAUUUCCAGCAACAAGGGCCUGCCUGUGUCGACAGCAAUCAUGUAGAAACCAAGGCUCAGAUGGGAUAACCGACUUUUCCAAGUCCAACAGACAGUAAGGAAAGGAAUGGCGAGAUCAACUCAGAUCUUCUCUUAGCCAUGCUGAGGGUAAUCGCCUUGCAAUUACCUCUUCAAUGGAUAUUCCUUGCAAGAAUUAAAACUCUAUUAGGCUUUUUCCAAGAUAGCUCCUUCCAGAACUCAGUUCAUCCAGGUCAAAAAAGCACUGGAAGGUAAAUUGGCAACCACUCAUCAUAUCACAUGAUGUUUUCCAAAAUGUAAGACUGUCCCAAUCAAAGGAGCUGGUAGCAAACAUAAUGAACGUCAGCUGAGACUCUAUAAACCAAAAAAGCCCUGGGUUGACUGUGUUCAUGUGACUUCAAAAGAGGGUAAUCUGCAGGGGGUGUUCCUGCAGGGCCUACUUUGCACCCUUUGCUACCCUUUAGAUACCAUUUGACCUCAUUUUCCUCUCUGUGUGAUGGCCAAACCACAGGCUCCCUCUUCUAUCUGGCCCCAUGAGCAUUAAUCAACUUCAACCUUCCCCAAGACCUGGCAGGAGAGAUGCAGUACCUACUUCUUAAUAAACUCAAACUGUCAUUGAAGAUGAAAGAUGAGACUGCAAAACUUCGAGCAUCCCAACUCCCCAGCUUGCCAAGUGCUGGGAAUCCGGAGGGGAGUGCCCUCGAGGACAGGUCUCUGUGGAUGGUGCAGAAAAGUCAGCUAGCUGCCUUCUCUUUUUUCCCUUCUCUUUCUUCCCCUAAAUGCUCCCUCAGUGAUACCACUGUGUCUGCAGUAAAGAGAGACUGUCUAGCUGUUUCUUUUUCAGCAAGACAAUUUGGUGUGUGGUCUGUGGUGCCCACACAUUCUUCUUUGCAAUGAGUGGUGGGUGAACAGUGUUUUCCAAGUUGGAUGUUACAGUACCAUAAGUAGAAACAGAUCUCCCGGAGCUCCGAACACUUUUUCUGCCUGAGUUGGGAGGAUCAGCAGGCUCCUGUGUAGAUGGCCCAGCAGAUUCCUUGGGAGCAGCUUUGCAGCAUUUCCCCACUCACUGGCCCUCACCAAUCAUAAUGAAAGCUCAAUUAGGUGGUGGACUUCCACUUUUGUAACUGCCAGGUUAGUUAUAGCAUUACACGUUCAUGCAAGAUGAAGCUGAGAUAUUUGGAAUCGGUACAUGUAACUAUUUAAAUGACCGGGAUGCUAACUGCUCUCUACACAUUCCCACCCCCAAACCCCUUUCACCAAGCAGCUGGUACUAAGUACUGUUUACAGAGAGUUUUCAAAAGGCAAGUCACUGUGCUAAGCAUUUUACAGAUAUUAUUUCAUUUCACCUUCACAACAAUCCUAUUUGAUAGAUUUUUUUUUAUCAAGAAGGAGAAAUUUGAAGCCUAGAGAGACUGAAUGAUUUGCAUAAAGUCAUGCAGUUAAUGAGUGGCAACGUCAAACUUGAAUUCAGGUCUGCAGAUUCUGAAUAUCACUCUUCCCACAACUACAACCUUACCUUUUAGGCAAAUUAAUAAAUAAGCAAGCAUUUCCUGAGCACCUACUAUACAAGAGGUUCUGUGCUAGGAACUUUCACAUCCACCUAACAACAAUCUUGAUUUUUAGGGGAGGAAACUGAAGGCCUAGCUUGUUAGCACUGUCAGGGCCAACCCAGGAUUUGAUGUCUAUUUAACUGUAAGAUCAUUCCCUCCCUUCCUUCCUUCCUUCUUCCUUCCUUCCUUCCUUCCUUCCUCCUUCCUUCCUUCCUUCCUUCCUCCUUCCUCCCUCCCUCAUUCUGUCUCUCUCUGUUUCUUUUCAAUUAAUCAUGUAUCAAUUCAGCUAAGGUUAGAAUCUUAUCUUUGCAUUCAUAAGAGAUAAUUUAUACAUUAUGCCUACCUCAGUAUUUGGCACACUGUAUUUGGAGGCAGUUGAAUCAUGUUAAUCUCUGCCCCCAAAUCACCUAGAUAAGUUUUUUAUUGCUACUUCCCUCCCUGGUAAAUAGAAAAGAGAUGCUCUUUCCAGCUACCUGGUGAGAAGAAAGUCUGUCCAACUUGGCUCGUGUUUCCUCUACUUGGGGAGCUGUGCCCUGCAAAUGGUAUAGCCCAGCCCCUUCAGGGACACUUGGAAGAACUGAUGGCAUCAUGUCAGGACUGAGGUCUCCUUUCUUGUAGUUUCUGAAGAAUUAAUGAAAAGGUAAACUUUGCAGGAUCUCAACACACAGGCUUUGUUUUUCCCUUACUUCUUGUUUUGCAAAGAAAGGCCCCUGCUGGCCUUUUAAGCCCAAGGAAAACUUAACAAACACUUGCUGCAAAACACCUUGCUUUUUACCCUGCAUCAAAUAACCUCCCCCACUCCAGAGAUUUGCGUUCCAAUCUCUGCAAAGGAGCAGCGAGAGGAAGCAGGAUAUUGAGUCUCAUUAAGUUUCUUUGCUGUGUCAGUCAUCUUUCCCAGAGGGGGAUGUAAUAUUCUCUUCAUAAUAUUCAGCCCCUCUCACAAGUUGGCAGCUCCUUUCUCUCAACUUAUAUUCUUAGCUAAGAAUGUGUUCACAGGGAUUUUUUAAAAGCCUCCCCAAAUACCUGUUUACUGACUUUCUCAGAGCGUUUCUGAGAUGGCACAAGGAUGUGUGGUCUCUGAAGUCAGCUUCUUCUUGCUAAUGAGGCUCAGCUCAGCACCUCUCCCCAGCACUCCAGGCAGGGGUUGGGGGAGCCCGCUCUGCCCCUCUUCCUGUCC